rnacentral:misc_RNA from 1 species
AAUAUAUAUAUAUAUAUUUUUAAAAAGAGUGAGUGUUUUUGUGCAGAGAAGAUUCCUUUCCUUUCCUUUUUAUCGCCAAUGAUGAUAGUUCUUCCUGUUGGCCUUUUGGUUUAGCUUCUAACACGAUCUCCUACAUUUCCGUGAAAAAGGUUAAACUUUGUCACUUUGUGACAUCAUUUUUUAACCACUCUCCUUCAACCUGACAUCAGUUUUAUUUUUAUUUUUCUUUUUCUU